GACGAACGCUGGCGGCGCGCCUAACACAUGCAAGUCGAACGAGCGAGAGAGAGCUUGCUUUCUCAAGCGAGUGGCGAACGGGUGAGUAACGCGUGAGGAACCUGCCUCAAAGAGGGGGACAACAGUUGGAAACGACUGCUAAUACCGCAUAAGCCCACAGCUCGGCAUCGAGCAGAGGGAAAGGAGUGAUCCGCUUUGAGAUGGCCUCGCGUCCGAUUAGCUGGUUGGUGAGGUAACGGCCCACCAAGGCGACGAUGCGUAUCCGACCUGAGAGGGUGAUCGGCCACAUUGGGACUGAGACACGGCCCAG
rnacentral:rRNA from 1 species